rnacentral:rRNA from 1 species
GACGAACGCUGGCGGCGCGCUUAACACAUGCAAGUCGAACGGAAAGGCCUGCUUUCCCUUGUGGAUUGCGGGUACUCGAGUGGCGAACGGGUGAGUAACACGUGAGUGAUCUGCCCCCAACUUGGGUAUAAGCCUGGGAAACUGGGUCUAAUUCCCGAUAGGACUGCAGGGUGGUGCCUGUGGUGGAAAACGAUUUUCUAGUGGUUGGAGAUGAGCUCGCGGCCUAUCAGCUUGUUGGUGGGGUAAUGGCCUACCAAGGCGGCGACGGGUAGCCGGCCUGAGAGGGUGGACGGCCACAUUGGGACUGAGAUACGGCCCAGACUCCUACGGGAGGCAGCAGUGGGGAAUAUUGCACAAUGGGCGGAAGCCUGAUGCAGCGACGCCGCGUGGGGGAUGACGGCCUUCGGGUUGUAAACUCCUUUCGACCGCGAGGAAGCCACCUGGUUGGAAGGGUGGUGACGGUAGUGGUAGAAGAAGCACCGGCUAACUACGUG